AAUCCGGAGAAGGCGGGAUGAUGUUAAAUCAUCAUGCCCCUUAUGACCUGGGUACACACGUGUACAAUGGACGGUACAAAGGGCAGCAAAACCGGAGGUCGAGCCAAUCCCAUAAAACCGUUUCAGUUCGGAUUGCAGGCUGCAACUCGCCUGCAUGAAGCCGGAAUCGCUAGUAAUCGCGGAUCAGCAUGCCGCGGUGAAUACGUUCCCGGGCCUUGUACACACCGCCCGUCACACCACGAGAGUUUGUAACACCCGAAGUCGGUGGGGUAACCUUUGGAGCCAGCCGCCUAAGGUGGGACAGAUGAUUGGGGG
rnacentral:rRNA from 1 species